AUCCAGCUGACCAGUCCUAUAUGGAACGAAACGCAUGUCCUGGAU
rnacentral:hammerhead_ribozyme from 2 species